ACCACUUGAUAUCAUGAUAUUGCCUUUCCUACAAUGUAGGCUAUGCACCCAUGGUGAUGACUACACAGUACACUCGAGCACCUCAUGUUCAUUCAUUCUAAUAUUUAUUGCAGCUAUUUGUAAAGACUGCGACAAAGAACAGCACAGGCCUCAUCCCUCUUCGAAUAUCUCAAUGGAACAGAAGCCUGGCACUUCCUCCGCCUAUGAUGAGCCUCUACCAUGUUCUAGUACAGAGGGUACAGUAUAGUGGGUACAGUGAUUGUGGAUAUCGACCUUGAGCAUCAGAGUCGAUCACCAGUAACAUCUGACAGGCAUUAAGUCAAGUUGGUUUCUGAUGAGAUGGGAGGCAAAGGUGAUGAUAAUUCAUCAAUUUCUUCUGCUGGGUCUACAUGUAUCAUCCAGGGACGUCACCUUUUGUCAUCAAGUAAUGGAGAAUCACCCAGCUCCGAUAAUCUGGAUAAUGGUGAUAAACCACAUGAAUUCGACAUGUCCUGGGCCCCAACUCCAGCGCCAAAGAAUAUGCAUCUUGGCUUCCUCAAUCAGUUUCUGAAGCAAGGGGGAUGUAGUUCAGUUUCAGGACAGCUUCUUCUGCCGCUUGAUGAUGCUUCCUCAAAUACUCUUCGUUAUUACAAAAGGAAGGCAAGGGAAGCGGUUGCUUUAACGUUGCACUGCAUAGCCCCUAGACAAGAAAAUGAUCUUAUGUCGCUUAUCCAGCCUGCAGUGCCUUCUCCAAUGGCUGAUGAACUGGACAAGGUUGUGGUGA